GAUAAAUAAAUUGAGUGUUGUGAUAUAUUCAUUUGUUUGAAUCUUGCAAGAGAGAAGAAAGAAAAUGGGAAGGAGCAAGGUGUUAGUUUUGUGGAUCCUAAUCUCUCUUUCUCUUCUCGCUACUCACGUUAGAUCUGAUGCCUCCGAUCACCGUUACGGCGACGGAGAUCCCGUUCCUCUUUACGCUAACAAAGUCAGUACCUUUCAUAACCCCAGGUACCCUCCGAUCUCCUUUCAAUUUCUCUGAUCUUCUUUUUUCAAUUUACUCUUCGAACAUUUUGAACAAAGCAGCAACGAGAUCUAGAGACAGAUGACUGAUGAGGUUGCGGCGAGUAGAGAGGCAGCGACGAAUGGCCACGGACAGAGGCAGUCAGGCAGACGAACGAUUGGCCGCAGCGAGCGAUUUCGUGAGCGAGCAGACGAGCGAUUAUUGUAGAGAGACGACCGCACGUUUGUCUUGAUUCAUGAAUCUGAUUAUGGAGGAGGGAGAGAGGAAGGCUGGAACUUGUAAGCAAAAGGGAGAGAGGAAGGCUGGAUGGAAGAGAGAGGAAGAAUGAGAAAACUGAAUUAAGUUUAGUGAAACGUAUGGUUACCUUGACCUCCCAUUUUGUGUAACAGAUUUGUUUCUAGUUUAUUUAACUCUUGUUUAAUAACAAGAGAAGACUGAAGCGCUUGGUGAGGUGUUGAAUGGAGAUCGCCUUGUUAGUGCUCCUUAUGAACUUCACUUUAGAAACUAAUGGAUAUGAAUAUUAACAAAGGCAAUGAAUAAUGCUAAUGAGAAUAAAGAAUGAUAAUGAAUGAUGAUGUUACCUUUCAAACUCUCAACAGCAAAUCUACACCAAGCGAGUUCUUUGACGGACAAGUCUAGCAAUUUCAAACAUGUUGAAAUGGCGUUGGAGAAACAAAAGUGGUCAACACCAUUAACUUUGGUGAGCUCAAACUGCAGAAUAGAUGUAACAUCCUGCAACACUUCCUCUACAGUCUUCAAGGAAACAACAAACUCAUAAGGAGUCACAUUCAAACACUCUAGUCUCUUUAGACUGUUUAGACUAAAGCCAACAGUAGAAGAAUCAAACUGAGUGCAAAAGAAAAUGAAAAUGAAAAACAUGGACAAAGAUGGUUGUUUAAUUAGAUGGUGAAAUAGCCAUUAGAACAAAUAAAAAACUUCUAAGUUUGAGUUUGAGUUUGAGUCUAUAGAACUUCAGUCAUAUUUAUAGUGAAUAUAAAGUUCAUGUGUUUUCAAUUAAUUAAAAAUAUUUUAUGUAAAA